UACGGAGGGUGCAAGCGUUACCCGGAAUCACUGGGCGUAAAGGGCGUGUAGGCGGUCCCGUAAGUCCGUUGUGAAAGCCCCGAGCUCAACUUGGGAAUUGCAGUGGAUACUGGCAGGCUGGAGUACGGUAGAGGAAGGUGGAAUUCCCGGUGUAGCAGUGAAAUGCGCAGAUAUCAGGAGGAACACCGGUGGCGAAGGCGGGUCUCUGGGCCGUAACUGACGCUGAGGAGCGAAAGCGUGGGGAGCGAACAGG
rnacentral:rRNA from 1 species